ACAUACGACCACAGGCAGUAGAGAAUACCGCGUCAUACCGCGUCCCGUUUGAGCUGUCAAGCUACUGACCGGCAGAUUAGUAGUUGGGUCGGUGACGACCAGCGAACACCGGCUGUUGUAUGUU
rnacentral:rRNA from 1 species